UACGGAGGGGGCUAGCGUUAUUCGGAAUUAUUGGGCGUAAAGGGCGCGUAGGUGGCGCGACAAGUCAGUGGUGAAAGUUCGACGCUUAACGUCGAAUCGGCCACUGAUACUGUUGGGCUUGAGCACUGUAGAGGCUAAUGGAAUUCCGGGUGUAGCGGUGGAAUGCGUAGAGAUCCGGAAGAACACCGGUGGCGAAGGCGGUUAGCUGGGCAGUUGCUGACACUGAGGCGCGACAGCGUGGGGAGCAAACAGG
rnacentral:rRNA from 1 species